CCCUAAGCCUGAAGGAGUGACAGAAAGCAGCAGUACUAGAACCAAAACCAGAAGGAGAGAGCCUCCCUAGGAAAGAAGAACCCAGAGUGAAUGGAGUUGAGUACUUGGAGAUGCAAAGAGACCAAGAAAUUAAAGACUGAACCAGAGAAGAGUUCUAGAGGAGACUGUUCUUUGAGAACGUGGAGGAUGAUCAAGCUAAAGGAGCCCAGGGUUUUGAUAUCUCCUGGAGACCAGAGGCUUGACAGCCACCUGCCAGCCACAUUUGCGCCCUUCACCACAUUGUGAUCUCUGAAUGAACUCUUCCUACUGAUGCCUAGCAGCCUCUAUUCCAGAUCAAUUCUGUGGUAGGCAAAAUAGUGGCCUCUCGAAUAUCCACAUCCCCAGAACCUGCGAAAGACCUCCAGGAAAAGAAUGGAGCCCUGACAUCACCUUGAUUUUUAGCUUAGUGAGACCCAAUGUUGGACUUCUGAAUUCCAGAAAGUUGCAAACUAUUUGUUGAAAAGACUUUGUUUUCCCCAUUAAACUGCACCAGCAUCAUUCAACCAUCUGGGGAAACUAAAUGAAGCUGGAUGGUCCACUUCCAAGAUGGGUCACUCCUGUGGCUGAGCACAGACUACCUCAUUCCUGACUUCCAUGCUGAAUUCCCUUCAGGGUGUGUCAAAACUGCACCCAUGGAGCAGUUCCAGGCAUGGAGAAGUUCCAGAACCAGGAAUCAAACCUGCACCGUAGCUGCAACUGAAGUCACAGCAGUGACAAAGCUGGAUCCUUAACCUGCUGCACCACCAGGGAACUCUAAUUUUUUCUAAUAUUUUAAUUCUAUCUUUUCUAAUUAGAAAAAAAUAGAUAUUACUAUUGCCAUUGUUGUUUACAUGUCACAUUGGUUUAGAAUUGCCCACAUAUUGUCUUUCUCUAACAAAAGAUCUGAUAAAUAAUCACAUCUACUUGUUCAGACUCUGAACUAAUUAAAAGAUAAGCAAGGAUUCAAAUAUAUGGGGAAAAAAUGACAUAUUCAAGAAUGUGGCUUAAAUCUGCAGGCAAGAGAGUUUCAUGAUACUGAGCCACAGAAAGAAACUUUAUCCACACUCCAAUGAAAAUAGGGGUCCAUCUCAAUGUGAGAGUACUCCCCUAGAAAUAUGGAUCGAGGAUCAGCAUGGACCUUGUGCAUGCUAGCCAUAGGCAUCUGAUUACAAACAGUGUACAGCACCAGUUCUUUUGUUAUAUAUUAAGUACCAUAUAACAGCAAGUUUUGUAAUCAAUGUAUAAUCCUCUGUUCUGCCCAUUUCUUAAGAAUUUGUAGCACUUAAAUGAAGAUGAAAGUUUAAAUCUGCUUUUCUUUUUAGGGCUGUACUAUGGCAUAUGGAAGUUUCUGGGCUAGGGGUUGAAUUGGAGCUGCAGGUGCCUGCCUACACCACAGCCACAGCAAAGCUGGAUCCAAGCCACAUUGCAACCUACACCACAGCUCAUGGCAAUGCCAGAUCUUUAGCCCAUUGAGUGUGGCCAGGGAUCAAACCCAAGUCUUCAUGGAUACUAGUCACGUUCGUUACCACUGAGCCACAACAGGAACUCCUAAAAUGAUUUUCUUAAACUACAAUUCUCUGAUAAUAUUUUUAAAUUUUUUUUAUAAUUUCUAGGGAGAACAAGAUAUCAAAGGGUUGACACAGGAGCAUAUAACACUGUGGUAUUUAAAAUAUAUAGCAAAUAGCUAUAUAUAUAUAUAUAUAGAAAGAGAGAGAGAGAGAGAGCGCACGAGACAGAGAGAGAGAAGUGUUUUCAACGAAUUCUAGGGGUCAAGAUCAGAGCUCUUUCCUUGAAGAACUGAGCUAGUAGGCAAAUCAUUUAAGUAAUGAUUGUGCAAAGGAUAUAUAAGAAUCAGGCAUUAAAGCUGAGGUAAAAUCAGGGAUAGCACAUUGAAAUUUUGGCAGAAAUGAUAUCAUUAAUAUACAGGCCAAAGUUUAAAAUUUAAUCAGAAAGCUAAAUAUUGCACUAGCUUCAGGAUGGGACUAGGCGUUCUCUUGUGGUACAGCAGGUUAAGGACCCAGUGUCACCACUGCUAUAGCAUGGAUUUGACCCCUGGCUUGGGAACUUCCACAUGCCACAGGUGUGGUCAAAAUCUUAAAUAAAUCAAUAAAGGAUGGAUUAGUGUUCCAUGACUGUCCUAUAUGGAAAAUGAGAUGAUGACCAGCACCUAGAGACACAAGUGUGGCAGGAGUCAGAAUUAACUGGCCCACUCUACUUGUAGAAUAAAAUCUUUUUCUAAAACCCACAAACUAAUAGAUUAGGGUUUGGAGGGCAAGUCAGCAAGAGUAGCUCCUUAUCUACAUGGGUCAGGCCCAUUGAUUGUUUACAAGUGAAGAGAUGGAAUAUAAUACAUAUUAGUAGUGGACAUGACCCUUGGCCAAGAAUUCCAGAGUCUUCCUUGCACAUGCUAUUUACAUGAAGUACUGCAAUAGUCAGAGUAUACCACCUCCAUGGAUGUCUCUAGUAGAUGAGAAUUUAAGACUGUACAGAGAGAGCAAAAUGAGCAUGGGAAGGAAAGUAUAGUUAGUUCACAGAACUUUCAGUGCUGUAGCUGCUAUUCAGUGUGAUGGGUGGAAAUAAACCACCCCAUGGGAGUGGAAUCUGUCCAGAGAAAGAGAGAAAUGGCUUAUGUGGAAAAAUGUUGGUUGGAGAAGCAUUUGACAGUUUUCAUCAGUUAUUAACACAAAGGUCAGAGAGAAUAAGUGUAGAGGGGGGAAAAGUGGGAAAAGUUUGGAAAAGUAAUAUCUAGAUUUUUAGAGGGAUUCUGAAGCCAUGAAUACCAAGGCUGGUCAGCAUGUUUUUUUUUUUGUUUUUUUUGUUUGUUUUUUGUUUUGUUUUGUUUUUUGCUGAGAAAAACAGCAAGAGAAAACCAGCAAGAGAAAACAGAAGGUCGAUGUACUGAUGGAGUGAAGAUGAAUUUUUUCAAUCAUCUGACAACAAAUAUAUGCUUCAUGUGUUGUGAUCUCUGGCUGUCUCUGGGGCUUUGAUCAGUUAUGAAUGUUAUUUCAUCAUAUGCAUGACCUGUGGGGGAAGAAAUCCUAUAUAAAUGAUUGGGAUUACUGCACCAUGCACCUCACAGCUGCAUGAAGUUUGUAAAUAAUUGAACAAGAUUUUCAUGCCACAGCCAACCUCCCAGGUGAAUUAGAUAUAGUACACAUUAAAAUCAAAUAAAAAGUUAGAUCUCUGUAGUUCCAUCUGGGCUUGUUAUCAUGUGAAGUCCUGCUUGUAAUGAAGAAUACUCAAGGAUGACAUCUGAAACAAUAGUUCCUCAGGUUGAUGAGUUCAGUAAUGAAUCGCUCUGUUAUUUCCUUCCAAGACUGAUUAAAAUAGUACUUGAGCUUCUGAAAAUACUGAAGUGCUUAUAAAUGAAGCAAAAAAAGAUAUCUGGUGAAAAACAAGACAGGGCAUGCUCAUUCAGCGGUCAGUGUCUUUACAGCAAAAACAAAUCCCUUCAGCAAACUCAUGAAUGAAAACAUUGCUUUCAUGUUGAAUAAUUCUGAUUUUGUGAGAGAGCCUUCUCUCCAAGUGGGUUGAUCAUAACUUCUAUCUAAUGUAACUGGACCAACCUUAAGAAUCUAUUGUUUGUAGAUUCAUGAAUAGAGUCUGCCAGGGUAUAUAUCUUACCUAAUUAUGCAUUCAUUCAAGGAUCACAGAAAAAGCAUCAAAGUUUUAGUUUCUGUGGGUAAAAUAAAACUGAUGUAGAUUUAGCUUUGACAAGGAGGAGCACAUAGACAGGAAGAUAAUUAAUACCUGUUACUCACCAGAUUAAGCUAUAUUGUGAUAUAGUCCAUAGAAAAGCAUAAAGUAUUAUAAAAGUUCCAUUUUGUUUUUAAGCUGAGGAGAGAUUAGAAUAGGCCACUUUGAGGAUGGGAUAUAUAAAUGGACCAAAAAAAAAAGUUAGGAUCUACUUAUGUAAGAAUAGAUAGUAUGGGGGGAAACCUAGGGGUCAAAGGAAUGGGGAAAUGAAUGAGUAGAAUUAUAAAACUUGAAAAGCAGGCAAAGGGACAUUUGAUUCAGGAGAUAUGUAAAAUAUCUUGAUCCAAAAUAAUUUCUCUUCUAUUAACUUUUGUAAUAUUUGAUUAAAAAGAGUGACACAUUGCCUUAUUUUUAGAUACCCAUAUGUACUUGUGGGUCCUUGAGGACAGGAAUCAUACCUAUUUUUAUAUUCCCAUAUAAAAUGUUUAGAAUGUAGUUGAACAGCAAAAAUAUUUGUCAAGUCAAAAUAAUUUAGGGAAGAGUAUGGUCUUGGAAAUGGUGGCUGUGGAACACCUCUUAUUACUUUUUCUUCCCUUUUCACAUUCUAAUAAUAAGAUUUGAUUUCUGCAUCUUUUCAUUCUCCUUAGUUUCUUUUAUCCAUUUUAUUACAGUCUUUAAAAUGCACAUCUCAUUACUUUCUUCAAUUUUCAUGUGACAUGACAUCAUUUCCUUCAUGCCCCUCAUUAGAUUAUUUAACGUGCUCAUCUCAUUACACCUUUCCCAUCUUGCAUCUCAUCACAGCCCUUAAACAUGCACAUCUCAUUACACAGUCCUUACAUAUCUCAUUACACGAUUCCAUUUUUGUAUCUCAUUGUCAUUUCAUUUCUGCAUCUUAUUACAUUAAAACCUAGCUCCCAUUAUAUCUUACAUAUUUGGAAAAUUUAUAUACUCUCCCUUCUUUUAUGCAUCUAAUUAUAUGGCCUCUCCUUUAUGUGACCCGCUCAUUACACUUUUCCUUUCACCCAUCUCAUUUCAGCCCUGAAGGAUGCCCAUCUUACAGAACACGUCCUGAGACAGCUCAUUAAACCACCCCACGUAUUCACUUCAUUACAGCUUUUUAACAUAUACAUCUUAUUACAUGGAACUCUUCAUGAAUCUCAUUAAAAUCUCAGAAGAGCUAGCUCACUCUUGAAAACAUGUGGUCAUUCUGCCUCUCAGGAGCAACUGUAUAAGAUGUUUGUCUGACAUGGAGAGGUAAAUGGAAAGGAGAUGCUGGAGGAGGAAGAAGAAAAGGGAAAAGAAGAGAUAGAGGUACAAGGGAAAGAAGCCAAUGAGGGGUGGAGAGGAGUCAUUCAUGGUGCAAUUAAACUCGAAGGAUCUGGAAGCCUGAGGAUCUGCUUGAGCCCCAGUCUAAUGAAGUGAAUGCUGCCACCUGCUGACAGAUUUCCCUGAUGCCAACUGCCUAGCUGUGCUGAGCUAUUCUCUGAGGUGCCAUGAACCUUGAUCUACCAAACAUCAAGAACCUAAGUCAUCCAAUAAAGAUGCAUUGCACCCUG
rnacentral:lncRNA from 1 species